ensembl:lncRNA
GUCAAAAGGAGUAGGUGUGUGUGUGUGUGUGUGUGUGUGUGUGUGUGAGUCCAAGGGGCGGCAAAGGUCCGGCCAGUCAAAAGGAGUAGGGGUGUGUGUGUGUCUUCGUGUGUGUGAGUCCAAGGGCGGCGCAAGUCCCCAUUCUGUCUGAGCAACAUCCUCCACAUCUUGCUGUCUUUCCAGUGGGGGCAGGCUGGGUGUGUGUGUGUGUGUGUGUGUGUGUGUGUGUGUGUCCAAGGGCAGCGAAGGUCUCCACUCGGAGCACCAUCCUCCACAUGCUGCUGUGUGUCUUUCCAAGUGGGGCAGGCCGAUGUACGUCUGCGUGUGUCUAAGGGCGGCCCAGGUCCCCACUCUGAGCACUGUCCUCCACAUCUUGCUGUCUUUCCAAGAGGGGCCGGCCGGUGUGUGUGUGUGUGUGUGUGUGUCUGUGUGUGUGCGUGUGUCCAAGGGCAGUGCAGGUCCCCGCUCUGUCUUAGUACCUUCCUCCACAUCCUGCUGUGUCUUUUGAAGUGGGGCAGGCCGGUGUAUGUGUGUGUGUGCGCGUGUGCCUGUGUGUCAUUGUGUGUGUGUGUGAGUCCAGGGGCGGCGCAAGUCCCCACUCUGUCUCAGCACCCUCCUCCGCAUCUUGCUAUCUUUCCCAGCGGGGCCGGCCGCUGGAGGCUGCUGGGCCGCCUCCGGGAUCCCAGACCGGGACAUCCCGCGCGGCGGCAGCCACAACAACAGGCUCUCCGCAGACAAAGGGCAGGCGCGGCGG